rnacentral:rRNA from 1 species
AUUGAACGCUGGCGGCAUGCCUUACACAUGCAAGUCGAACGGCAGCACGGAGCUUGCUCUGGUGGCGAGUGGCGAACGGGUGAGUAAUAUAUCGGAACGUACCCUGGAGUGGGGGAUAACGUAGCGAAAGUUACGCUAAUACCGCAUACGAUCUAAGGAUGAAAGUGGGGGAUCGCAAGACCUCAUGCUCGUGGAGCGGCCGAUAUCUGAUUAGCUAGUUGGUAGGGUAAAAGCCUACCAAGGCAUCGAUCAGUAGCUGGUCUGAGAGGACGACCAGCCACACUGGAACUGAGACACGGUCCAGACUCCUACGGGAGGCAGCAGUGGGGAAUUUUGGACAAUGGGCGAAAGCCUGAUCCAGCAAUGCCGCGUGAGUGAAGAAGGCCUUCGGGUUGUAAAGCUCUUUUGUCAGGGAAGAAACGGUGAGAGCUAAUAUCUCUUGCUAAUGACGGUACCUGAAGAAUAAGCACCGGCUAACUACGUGCCAGCAGCCGCGGUAAUACGUAGGGUGCAAGCGUUAAUCGGAAUUACUGGGCGUAAAGCGUGCGCAGGCGGUUUUGUAAGUCUGAUGUGAAAUCCCCGGGCUCAACCUGGGAAUUGCAUUGGAGACUGCAAGGCUAGAAUCUGGCAGAGGGGGGUAGAAUUCCACGUGUAGCAGUGAAAUGCGUAGAUAUGUGGAGGAACACCGAUGGCGAAGGCAGCCCCCUGGGUCAAGAUUGACGCUCAUGCACGAAAGCGUGGGGAGCAAACAGGAUUAGAUACCCUGGUAGUCCACGCCCUAAACGAUGUCUACUAGUUGUCGGGUCUUAAUUGACUUGGUAACGCAGCUAACGCGUGAAGUAGACCGCCUGGGGAGUACGGUCGCAAGAUUAAAACUCAAAGGAAUUGACGGGGACCCGCACAAGCGGUGGAUGAUGUGGAUUAAUUCGAUGCAACGCGAAAAACCUUGCCUACCCUUGACAUGGCUGGAAUCCUCGAGAGAUCGAGGAGUGCUCGAAAGAGAACCAGUACACAGGUGCUGCAUGGCUGUCGUCAGCUCGUGUCGUGAGAUGUUGGGUUAAGUCCCGCAACGAGCGCAACCCUUGUCAUUAGUUGCUACGAAAGGGCACUCUAAUGAGACUGCCGGUGACAAACCGGAGGAAGGUGGGGAUGACGUCAAGUCCUCAUGGCCCUUAUGGGUAGGGCUUCACACGUCAUACAAUGGUACAUACAGAGCGCCGCCAACCCGCGAGGGGGAGCUAAUCGCAGAAAGUGUAUCGUAGUCCGGAUUGUAGUCUGCAACUCGACUGCAUGAAGUUGGAAUCGCUAGUAAUCGCGGAUCAGCAUGUCGCGGUGAAUACGUUCCCGGGUCU